rnacentral:lncRNA from 1 species
AAGAGACCAAAAUGACACAGAAAUUAACAACUAUAGGUCAUCGUACGGCCUUCAACAACGAGCAAAGACCAUACCGCAUACUCAGCUUUAAAAGGCACCGAAAUGAAAAUGUACAACAAUUCAAACGAGAAAACUAGCGGCCUUAUUUAUGUACAAAAAAUGAACGAAAAACAAAUAUGUAACGCAUAAACAAACGACAACCACUGAAGUACAGGCUCCUUACUUAAAUGUUCAUAACAUACUAAAUGUAUAUUCAUAUUGAAAUUGAUAGAAAACCACACAUUGGGAAUUUUGGAAAUAAAGGAGGAGGGAGUAAAAAAACAUUUUCCUGUCCCCAAUAACCUAUGAUUUAUGAUAAUUUUGCUGAAAUUCUCCAGUCAUUCAAUAUUUCACAAAAUUCUUCCAACAACACUUUACAUACUUUAAACUACGCUCUGAAUGCCCGCGAUUUCGCGGGUGUGUUCUAGUUUAA